UAAGGAAUAUUGGUCAAUGGAGGCAACUCUGAACCAGCCAUGCCGCGUGCAGGAAGAAGGCCCUGUGGGUCGUAAACUGCUUUUUGAACAAGAGAAAACCCCGGUACGUGUACUGGGUUGAUAGUAUUGUUAGAAUAAGCAUCGGCUAACUUCGUGCCAGCAGCCGCGGUAAGACGAAGGAUGCAAGCGUUAUCCGGAUUCAUUGGGUUUAAAGGGUGCGUAGGCGGACUGAUAAGUCAGUGGUGAAAUCUCUCGGCUUAACCGAGAAACUGCCAUUGAUACUGUUAGUCUAGAGUACAGAUGAUGUGGGCGGAAUAUGACAUGUAGUGGUGAAAUACUUAGAUAUGUCAUAGAACACCGAUUGCGAAGGCAGCUCACAAAACUGUAACUGACGCUGAGGCACGAAAGUGCGGGGAUCAAACAGGAUUAGAUACCCAUGUAGUCCCUGAGCGGGCUGGCAAGGCGCAU
rnacentral:rRNA from 1 species